rnacentral:rRNA from 1 species
UAGGGAAUCUUCCACAAUGGACGAAAGUCUGAUGGAGCAACGCCGCGUGAGUGAAGAAGGGUUUCGGCUCGUAAAACUCUGUUGUUAAAGAAGAACAUACCUGAGAGUACCUGUUCAGGUAUUGACGGUAUUUAACCAGAAAGCCACGGCUAACUACGUGCAAG